rnacentral:rRNA from 1 species
AGUCGAGGGGUAGUUGUUUUCGGACAUGAGACCGGCGCACGGGUGCGUAACGCGUAUACAAUCUACCUUUUACAGAGGGAUAGCCCAGAGAAAUUUGGAUUAAUACCUCAUAGUAUUUUUGAAUCGCAUGAUUUGAUUAUUAAAGUUCCAACGGUAAAAGAUGAGUAUGCGUCCCAUUAGCUAGAUGGUAAGGUAACGGCUUACCAUGGCAACGAUGGGUAGGGGUCCUGAGAGGGAGAUCCCCCACACUGGUACUGAGACACGGACCAGACUCCUACGGGAGGCAGCAGUGAGGAAUAUUGGACAAUGGGCGCAAGCCUGAUCCAGCCAUGCCGCGUGCAGGAAGAAGGUCCUAUGGAUUGUAAACUGCUUUUAUACAGGAAGAAACACCUCUACGUGUAGAGACUUGACGGUACUGUAUGAAUAAGGACCGGCUAACUCCGUGCCAGCAGCCGCGGUAAUACGGAGGGUCCAAGCGUUAUCCGGAAUCAUUGGGUUUAAAGGGUCCGUAGGCGGCCAAAUAAGUCAGUGGUGAAAGCCCAUCGCUCAACGAUGGAACGGCCAUUGAUACUGUUUGGCUUGAAUUAUUAGGAAGUAACUAGAAUAUGUAGUGUAGCGGUGAAAUGCUUAGAGAUUACAUGGAAUACCAAUUGCGAAGGCAGGUUACUACUAAUAUAUUGACGCUGAUGGACGAAAGCGUGGGGAGCGAACAGGAUUAGAUACCCUGGUAGUCCACGCCGUANACGAUGGAUACUAGCUGUUCGGAGCAAUCUGAGUGGCUAAGCGAAAGUGAUAAGUAUCCCACCUGGGGAGUACGUUCGCAAGAAUGAAACUCAAAGGAAUUGAC